CCCAAAGCUCAGGAACUAAUGACACUCUUUGUGGUGGUUAGUUUUAUUUGUCAGUUUGACACAAUCUAGAAUCACCAUCUAGACUCUGUGGGGGAUUAUCUCGAUUAUGUUGAUUGAGGUGGGAAGAGCCACCUACAAUUCCUGGCACCGUUUCCUGGGCUCGGAGUCCCCGGACUGGAUAAAAAGGAAAAGGCUGCACAGUUACCAGAAAAGAAACCAAGUUAUUGCCUCUUCCAUGAAGAGCCCAGACACAGGACACCGUCUGAGGUUCAUCUGCAGCUGGUAAAGGCAAGCUCGGCCCCUAACUGGAACAUAUAGCUGUCUCACUGUGUGUUCUUCCUGGGACUGCUGUGUGACGAACUGCCUCAGUCAGACACAGCGAUAGCUAACCUUGUUUUUCAACUUGACUAUGUCUGGAGCCAACUAAAACCCCAAGCUGCCGGGCCCUCCUAGGAGGGAUUUUCUUAGAUUAUUUGUAGCAGGAUACCCAUCCUAAAUCUGGGUGGCACCUUGUAUUGGCAGCCCAGAUGAAAGGCCAGGGAAAAAGGAAAGUGUCUUUUGCCAACUUGCCUUCACUCUGGCUGACAGUUCCUCCAGCCGACUACUGUAGCAUUCCUUCUCUGAUACUAGAGCAACUUCUUCAGGUUUCCAAUGUAGACUGCAGACCAGCACCUCUCUGGGAAUCCUUCAGCACUCCAGCACCUGAUUGGAACCACUGAGACAUCCAGCCUUCUAGACUGAACAACUACUGGAUUCUCAGUGUAAGGCAGCCAUUGAAGAACUCCUCAGACCUCAUCCUGUAAGCCAGUCUAAUAAAUUCCCCUGAUACAUGGUG